AUAAGCCCCGCACUCUAGAAACCGCCUCCCCGGCGACCGGCUGCACCCGGUCCCAGCCAGCGGCUGACCGGCAGCCUUCCCGCUCGGCGCUCCCUUCUUCUCACCUCUCCGCAAACCCCACGACGAAAAACUUCUUUUCCCCCUCCCCUGUUAAACACGCGCAGCGAAGCAACGCAGCAGCAACAAACCUUUUCGCUCGCAGCUGCCACCACCUCGUCGUCUCGCCUCCCCCUCGGCCUCCGCACGCGCGCGCGGGAUCUCGCCCUCGCCCGCCUCGCCGCUCGCGCGCGCGCACCGAGGAAGGGCGCACCCACCCGCAGGCUUCCUGGCGGGCCGAUACGGCGGCGAUGGCGAGCCGGGUCAAGGAGGACGAGAGGCACGAGAAGAUCCUUCGCGGCCUGCUCAAGCUGCCCGCCAACAAGCGCUGCAUCAACUGUAACAAUUUGGGACCACAAUAUGCCUGCACAAAUUUCUGGACCUUCGUUUGUACCAAUUGCAGUGGAGCACAUCGGGAGUUCACGCAUCGAGUAAAAUCGGUUUCCAUGGCCAAAUUUACUGCACAAGAAGUUACUGCCCUUCAAGAAGGGGGGAAUGAGCGUGCUAGAGAAGUAUUUUUCAAGGAGUGGGAUCCUCAACGAAAUGGAUACCCUGACAGCAGUAAUGCUGACAAAUUGAGAAAUUUCAUUAAGCAUGUGUAUGUGGAACGGAGAUACACAGGAGAAAGAAGUACUGAUAAGCCACCAAGGGCAAAGGAUGACAAGGAUGAGUAUAGUGAAAAUAGGAGAUCUGAUGGAAAUUGGGGUGGUUCAAGAAGUCCGCCAGAUGGAAGUUACUCUGAUCGUCGGAGUUAUAGUGGACGGAGUGAUGACAGAAAUUCCAGAUAUUCCUAUGGGGACCGUAGUCCUGGCUAUGACCAAAAUGACUAUAAGAAAAGUCCUCGCUACUUUGAGGUUGUCGAUGAUAGAUCUGGAAAAACAACUCCAGUUCAAAGGUUUGAAGACCGUUGGUCUUCGGAGCCCAGAAAACCAGAUAGUGGAUCUCCAGAUUUCCAGAAAGAAGCUGAUGGUUCUAGUCCUGUUGUACGACCAGUUAGGGAUAUAUUGGGUGACAAUACUCCUCAACUUCGGGUUGGUGAACCGUCAAAGCCAGCUACUGAACCUCCAAAGCCAAGCGUAGUCAGACCAAUUGAUCCUCCAAAGCCGAGUGUAGUCAGACCAAUUGGUCCUCCAAAGCCAAAUGGAACCAGGGCAAUUGAUCCUCCACCACUGACAAAGACAAUAUCUAGUGCCAGCAGCAUUGGUUCUUCAGAAGGCACAUCAGAACAGACAAAGGUGGCAAGUGCUGUAAGUUUAAUUGAUUUUAGUGCAGAUCCUGAACCUGCGUCCACAGCACCACCACAACCCACCCCUAUGCCACAACAACCUCCAUUUAACGCAGCAGCACCACAGCCUAUUCUUGAACAAGGGAAAAGUGAUCCUUCUGUCAGUGGUGGUGACUGGGCAUCUUUUGAUUCUUUUGGCCAACAACAAACACCACAAACAAGCAGCAGUGUAAAUCCUCUUGAGUCUGCACUUGCACAGCUGUCAUUCUCUGAAGCACCCUCUGCACCAAAUGCGUCAGCUUAUCCUGUUUCUCUUGAUCCCACUUUGAAAGCAAAUGAUGGAGGACAUUCAUCUGUGCUAGACCAGUCACAUUCCUUGUUUGAUGCGCCCUUUGGAAUCUCAGGCAACCAGGCCUCAACAGUAAUGUCCGGCCAAGGAUCAUCAGUUCAACAAUCUCCUCUAGCUGCCCCAACAGCUGGACCUCCAUCUCAAGCUACUGCAAAUCCACAAGGAACCAGUGGUAUUCAAGGAGCAGCCUCUUCUACUGACAGUAAAUUCAGUAGCAGGAAAGAACUUCCAGUGGAUAUCUUUACUGCACUAUAUCCACCAUCAACUCAAAUGAUGCCUGGCUGGCAGAGAGCUCCCCAUUUUGGAAUGGGAUACGCCAUGCAAUAUCCACCUGGAGUGGGAUUGCAAUCAUAUCUUCACGGAGCAUUUCCUCAGCCUACAUAUCAGCAACCUGUAUAUUCACAACAUGCAUAUUCCCACCCCCAACCUGUGAAAGCUUCAAACCCUUUUGAUCUUGGGAAUGAGUCAGCUCAUAUUCAAGCUCACAUGUUUGUUUUAUCUAUGAGCAGCCCCCAUCUGGGCCACCUGGAGCAUCAGCAGGCUCAGCUCCCCAAACCUUAAUUGGUAACUCUAGUUUUGGUGUUCCUCCACAGCAGCCUCACCAGCUCUAUCAGUCAGAAGCGCAUCUAAGCCAUUUUAUGAUGCAGCAAGUUCCGAACAGCAUGCCCAUGCCUGAACAACAACCUAAUAGCAUGCUUGCAACGCAACAAGGUUUGGGUUCCUUCAACAUGGGUUUUGAUCAGGAAGCUCCUCUCGGAUACCCCCAGGCAAACACCUCACCUUCCUACGGCUCCGUUGGUGGUGGUAGUAAUCCAUUUGGCUGAAAGAAGUGUGGAAAUACCUGAUCGUUCAUCACUAGACGAAGGGUCUGCAGCACUCAGGGGGACAGACAUGCAUCGAAGCCCUGGAGAGAUUGUGUUUCAUACAACAAGGUGGUGUAUCUUGUCGGCCGUAGUCUGUUGUACAACUUGUUUCCAAAGGCUUAAUGAUCGAAUAUAACUCUGUUUUGGAGGGCCUAAGCUGAUUUCAGCCUCAUUCCAUGUACAUUGUGUCUGGCGUUCUGCUUGGAUUGCACAGUAUGUAUAUUGUGUUUCUUCGUUGUUGUCAUGGACAGUGUCAGCUCCUGUUUUAGUACAAGUUGUUUCUAGUGCACUUGAUUAUUCGAUUUAAUGUGGAUGAUUAGUACACUAUAGAUCAGAUGUAGAAUCGUGAUCGAUCAAUUUUGUGGUUUCUUUUUACUUGCUAUCUUAGUACCACUUAAUUUUGUGGUGAUCUUUUGUAAGGGUUAUUUUCUUGUGGAACUCAUUACUUGUUAUCUACAUUUUGUAAUGCAAUUCAAGGUAUGUUCAACUUAA